GACGAACGCUGGCGGCGUGCUUAACACAUGCAAGUCGAACGGAAAGGCCCUGCUUUUGUGGGGUGCUCGAGUGGCGAACGGGUGAGUAACACGUGAGCAACCUGCCCUUGACUUUGGGAUAACUUCAGGAAACUGGGGUUAAUACCGGAUAGGAGCUCCUGCUGCAUGGUGGGGGUUGGAAAGUUUCGGCGGUUGGGGAUGGACUCGCGGCUUAUCAGCUUGUUGGUGGGGUAGUGGCUUACCAAGGCUUUGACGGGUAGCCGGCCUGGGAGGGUGACCGGCCACAUUGGUACUGCGAUACGGCCCAGACUCCUACGGGAGGCAGCAGUGGGGAAUAUUGCACAAUGGGCGGAAGCCUGAGGCAGCAACGCCGCGGGCGGGAUGACGGCCUUCGGGUUGUAAACCGCUUUCGCCUGUGACGAAGCGUGAGUGACGGUAAUGGGUAAAGAAGCACCGGCUAACUACGUG
rnacentral:rRNA from 1 species